rnacentral:rRNA from 1 species
UACGUAGGGUGCGAGCGUUGUCCGGAAUUACUGGGCGUAAAGAGCUCGUAGGUGGUUUGUCGCGUUGUUCGUGAAAACUCACAGCUUAACUGUGGGCGUGCGGGCGAUACGGGCAGACUGGAGUACUGCAGGGGAGACUGGAAUUCCUGGUGUAGCGGUGGAAUGCGCAGAUAUCAGGAGGAACACCGGUGGCGAAGGCGGCAUCCUGGACCGGCAUUGACGCUGAGGCGCGAAAGCCAGGGAGCGAACGGG